rnacentral:rRNA from 1 species
AGCGAACGCUGGCGGCAGGCUUAACACAUGCAAGUCGAGCGGGCAUCCUUGUGGUGUCAGCGGCAGACGGGUGAGUAACGCGUGGGAACGUGCCCUUCGGUUCGGAAUAACUCAGGGAAACUUGAGCUAAUACCGGAUACGUGCGAGAGCAGAAAGGUUUAUCUGCCGAAGGAUCGGCCCGCGUCUGAUUAGCUAGUUGGUGAGGUUACGGCUCACCAAGGCGACGAUCAGUAGUUGGUCUGAGAGGAUGAUCAGCCACACUGGGACUGAGACACGGCCCAGACUCCUACGGGAGGCAGCAGUGGGGAAUAUUGGACAAUGGGGGCAACCCUGAUCCAGCCAUGCCGCGUGAGUGAUGACGGCCUUAGGGUUGUAAAGCUCUUUUCUCCGGGACGAUAAUGACGGUACCGGAGGAAUAAGCCCCGGCUAACUUCGUG